UCAGGGUACCAGCUCUCGUUUCUCAUGUAGAUGCAAAGGUGUUAUAAACGUCAUCACUGGGAGUACUGGAGACUAAACGUGAUGUUAACACCAUCCAAAAACCAAAUCGAUCGCUUUGUUACUUAGGAAUAGAAUCGAGCAGACCAAAGGAUUUUUUUUUUUUUUUUUUUUUUUUUUUUUUUUUUUUUUUUUUAAACCAAGCCCAAAUGCUCAUCUGGACUAAAUUGCAGCUAAUCCCCCAAUUUCCCGCCAUCGGCUCUUUUCCACAAUGACACAUCUGCGGGAUCUGCAGGACAGGAGGAAGGAAGGAGGGGAGAAAACUCUGAAUACCGUCUUGUUUAUUCCUGCUCUUUUUUUUCCAUAUUUACUUCUGAGCCGUCACUCAACUUCUCUCCUUCCCUCGUCUGUCCUCCCUUGCGGCUUUUCUCUCACGUCCAGGCCGUGGGACGGCGCUGCCGGCGAGCCCUGAGAUCUGGAGGCGCAUCUGCGAUCAAUUAGAGCGCGGCUGCAGCCACCCAUGGACUCGGUGACGGAUGGGGCUCGUGUAUUUAUAGCCGAGCAGAAUCUCCGCGGCCGAUCCGGAAGUCCGAAGCCGAAGUCGUGGCUAUCUGUCCCGGCCUGUCAGGGCGUUAAACCUGUACGGGAAACCGUGGCCAGACCACAUCUGCCCCUCGUUAGGCUGCAUAAAUGACUGCCAUGUGGUGCGCUGAUAAAUAGGCCAGUCUAUUUAUUGGAGCACAACAAAUUGGCUACAAACACUGACAUGGGAUCGAAGAACUAUAAAUAUUGGACGCGAUGAAAGUUUUAAAAUGUGCCGCAGCUAGUUUACGAGAGUCCAGGUUUCCCCUCUCUUUCUUUUUAUGUACUUCGAGCAAGUUCUCUCUCUCUCUCUCUCUGGUUCUCUCUUUCUUUUCUUCUCCGACUACCAGUGCAGUAAAAAAAAAAAGAAAAAAAAAAAAAAAAAAGAAGCAUUUUCUCUCGUUUCUCACUCUGCAGUAAACCAUCCAGUCCGUGACGUGGACUCGCAGUGCUUUUCCUCUACGAUCUUAUCGAGUCGACGCAGAAACGCGACAGAAAUUCCACAUCGAAUCGGCAGCAGACGGGCCGUAAACCUUGUGUAAUUGCAUAUUUGGAGAGUUUAUCUGGGUUUUUUUUUUUUUUUUUUUUUUGCGAACACGCACACGAUUCUCUUCCCUGGUGGUCCUUAAACACAUCCAUAUGUCCUGUGUUUCUCUUCUCACUCCUCUCCCUCUCUCUCUAUCUCCCCUUCCCUCCCUCCUUCCUCCCCCUGACUCUUCUGAAACGUUAACCGUCGCACGAUUAGCCGAACCUGCGUGCCGUGCUUUUUUCCCGUCGUGAAGAUGUUGUGCGGUUCGAGACGCUUUCUCUACGUCAGACGAGGUUUCUGCGCGGACGUAGGACGUCAGCGGCGUCCGACCGGGAACACACACGGAACGCGGGGAGGGAUUUGGAUUGGAUCAUGUGUGGGCCUGGAGGAAGAAAGCCCAUCUGUUUUAAAACACGUGCUAAAUAUUAGCGUAUUCGCAUUUUCCUGUUUUGGCGAGUGGAGGGAGGGGCCCGAGAGCAGAAAGGUCUCGGGCCGGGGUUAGGCGCUGUUUGAAACUGGAAACCCUUUUUCAGCCUUAUUUGUUUUAUGAUUCCGCAGGACGCCGUGUUUACACUCGACGUGCAACAUCUGGAUUAGAUAAUUUGUCUGGAAUUAACCGCCGCUGGAUGCUUAUCGAGCCCUGUCUGAUUAAAUCUGUUUGAUGUC